GUGGAUCAGCACCUAGAGAGGACCUCUACAGCCCUGAAAGACAGUGGAGACCAGGACAACUAGAGCCCCAGAUACAGAUCCCCUGUAAAGACCUUGCUUUUCUUCUCCAUUUUGUCACCGAUGGAGUUUUGGUUCCUUGCCGCUGUCGCCUCUGGCUUGCUUAGUUGGGGUCACUUCAUUUACAGCGAUAUCAUUGACUUGAUUGCAAAUGACUACACAGAUACUAUUAAAACUGAACUGAUAUGAUAACAUCACUGAAUUCAAUGAUGAACUGCCUUUAACUGUCAUUUUGCAUUAUUAAAACACUGUUUUCCUAAUGAAUUUUGUUCAGUUGCUUUGA